AACCCUACAGUCUAUGAUUUCAACUCGUGGCCAGGUCUUCACUCUUCACACGCACAGCAGCGACGACGACAAAGAGAGGAGACGGAGCGGAAUAUUUUUGGACAUCUUUUAAUGGUUAGCAUCAACUCCAGGACAGUAUACCCUUGUUUUUUCGCCGAAAUUGGCUAACUUUUGACACGUUACCCAGCCGGGGAGCCGUUUUAUCGUCUACUUGAGGAUUUCCACCUGAUGUCCUGCAUGACCUGUUUGAAGGUGUGAUUCCUGUUGAGUUGGCGCAUUGUCUCAAAGUCACAUAGUUAUAGCCGCAUCACACCAGAGGACAUCCUCCUCUUCCCCCUGGGACCUAAGGGAGGAAGAUCUCAGACCCUUUCCAUCAUUUUUCCAGUAGAGAUCACCCUGACACCCAGGACAACAUACUGUAAGGUUCCUCUAACACAGUGAAAAUGGAAGAAUCUGACGUCCUCAAACUUAGGGUCAUCCUUGACGAUGUCAAUGCUGAGAGGCUAAUUUUGCGCUCUCGUCCUGAGACUAUAAAUGCCCUCAUAUCUGAGGUGAAAAGUAAACUGAACCUGAUGUAUGAAUUCCGGCUUCAGUUUCAAGAUCCAGAUUUUGACAAUGCUUUAUGCAAUUUAGUGAACAUAGAGGACCUGCCAUCCAAGGCAACAGUUAAAGUAGUGAGGCUCAUUGAGGCAGAUCAGUCCUCUAUGAGCACG